UUGCCGUUAAAAAGCUCGUAGUCGAACUUCGGCCUUUGCCGCCCGGUCCGCCUAUUUGGGUGUGUACUGGAGCGGUGGAGGCUUACCUCGUGGUGAACGGCCAUGCUCUUUACUGGGUGUGGUCGGGAACCAUGACUUUUACUUUGAAAAAAUUAAAGUGUUCAAAGCAGGCUUACGCCCGAAUACAUUAGCAUGGAAUAAUAAAAUAGGACGUGCGGUUCUAUUUUGUUGGUUUCUAGGAUCGCCGUAAUGAUUAAUAGGGAUAGUUGGGGGCAUUCGUAUUCAAUUGCUAGAGGUGAAAUUCUUGGAUUUAUUGAAGACGAACUACUGCGAAAGCAUUUGCCAAGGAUGUUUUCAUUGAUCAAGAACGAAGGUUAGGGGAUCGAAAACGAUCAGAUACCGUUGUAGUCUUAACAGUAAACGAUGCCGACUAGGGAUCGGACGAGGAUUUUUAAUGACUCGUUCGGCACCUGAAGAGAAAUCUUUAAGUCAUGGUUCGGGGGGGAGUAUGGUCGCAAGGCUGAAACUUAAAGGAAUUGACGGAAGGGCACCACCAUGGUGUGGAGCCUGCGGCUUAAUUUGACUCAACACGGGGAAACUCACCAGGUCCAGACACGACAAGGAUUGACAGAUUGAUAGCUCUUUCUUGAUUUCGUGGUUGGUGGUGCAUGGCCGUUCUUAGUUGGUGGAGUGAUUUGUCUGGUUAAUUCCGAUAACGAACGAGACCUUAACCUGCUAAAUAGCCCGGCCGACUUUGGUUGGUCGCUGGCUUCUUAGAGGGACUAUCGGCGUUUAGCCGAUGGAAGUUUGAGGCAAUAACAGGUCUGUGAUGCCCUUAGAUGUUCUGGGCCGCACGCGCGCUACACUGACCGAACCAGCGAGUUUAUCACCUUGGCCGGAAGGCCUGGGUAAUCUUGUGAAACUCGGUCGUGAUGGGGAUAGAGCAUUGCAAUUAUUGCUCUUCAACGAGGAAUACCUAGUAAGCGUGAGUCAUCAGCUCGCGUUGAAUUCGUCCCUGCCCUUUGUACACACCGCCCGUCGCUACUACCGAUUGAAUGGCUUAGUGAGGUCUCCGGAUUGGCUUCUGGGAGCCGGCAACGGCACCUAGUCGCUGAGAAGUUGCACGAACUUGGUCAUUUAGAGGAAGUAAAAGUCGUAACAAGGUUUCCGUAGGUGACCCUGCGG
rnacentral:rRNA from 1 species